UGGCCAAGCACCUGUGUGGUAGCUGCACCAGGGCUCCAGUUGGCUUGGAGCUCAGUUUGUCAGGGCCCUGCAACCUGAGCCCACUCCGUUGCUGAUGGCUCGCUCCGUGGUUGAUGCUGAUUGUUGCACCCCAUUGUCCUGUUGAGUGGUGAAGACUGGGGUUAGCUGAGAUGGGUGACUUAUCACUGAAGUCUGCUGAAGUGCUUAAUCUGAGUGGCCAUGUCGAGCGUUGAGCUUGUUACUUGUUGAUCAUCCCUUCAUCUCCCGCAGUAAGUGCUCAUUUCAAUCCUCUGUUUCAACAUAUAUCCACUGCCAAUUAGUAAUGGUUUAAAUUGUGUUACAGGUGGAGUGAUUAGUGCACCCACAUCCUCU